UGAGGAAUAUUGGGCAAUGCCCGCAAGGGUGACCCAGCAACGCCGCGUGGAGGUUGAAUGUCGUCAGAUUGUAAACUCCUUUUAGAGGGGAAGAAUAGUACCGGUUGGACCGGUAUAUGACUGUACCCUCAGAGAAAGCACCGGCUAACUACGUGCCAGCAGCCGCGGUAAUACGUAGGGGGCAAGCGCUGUCCGGAUUUACUGGUUGUAAAGGGCGCGCAGGCGGGAUAAAAAGUCAGUGGUGAAAUCCUACAGCUUAACUGUAGAACUGCCUUUGAUACUUUUAUUCUUGAGUUCGGGAGAGAGAGACGGAAUUCCAGGUGUAGUGGUGAAAUACGUAGAGAUCUGGAAGAACACCAGUUGCGAAGGCGGUCUCUUGGUCCGACACUGACGCUGAGGCGCGAAAGCGUGGGGAGCAAA
rnacentral:rRNA from 1 species